GGGGCAGUAGCUCAGUUGGUUAGAGCAGCGGACUCAUAAUCCGUCGGUCCAGGGUUCAAGUCCCUGCUGCCCCA
rnacentral:tRNA from 2 species